GAUGAACGCGGGCGGCGUGCCUAACACAUGCAAGUCGAACGAAGCUAUGAGACGGAAGCUUUCGGGUGGAAGACUAAUAGACUGAGUGGCGGACGGGUGAGUAACGCGUGGGCAACCUGCCCCAUACCGGGGGAUAGCAGUUGGAAACGACUGGUAAAACCGCAUAAGCGCACGGUAAGGCAUCUUACAGUGUGAAAAACUCCGGUGGUAUGGGAUGGGCCCGCGUCUGAUUAGCCAGUUGGUGAGGUAACGGCUCACCAAAGCGACGAUCAGUAGCCGGCCUGAGAGGGCGGACGGCCACAUUGGGACUGAGACACGGCCCAGACUCCUACGGGAGGCAGCAGUGGGGGAUAUUGCACAAUGGAGGAAACUCUGAUGCAGCGACGCCGCGUGAGUGAAGAAGUAUUUCGGUAUGUAAAGCUCUAUCAGCAGGGAAGAAAGGCUCGCAAGAGAGAUGACGGUACCUGAGUAAGAAGCUCCGGCUAAAUACGUGCCAGCAGCCGCGGUAAUACGUAUGGAGCAAGCGUUAUCCGGAUUUACUGGGUGUAAAGGGAGCGCAGACGGAUAUGCAAGUCUGAAGUGAAACCCCACGGCUCAACCGUGGGCUUGCUUUGGAAACUGUAGAUCUAGAGUACUGGAGAGGUAAGCGGAAUUCCUGGUGUAGCGGUGAAAUGCGUAGAUAUCAGGAAGAACAUCGGCGGCGAAGGCGGCUUACUGGACAGCAACUGACGUUGAGGCUCGAAGGCGUGGGGAGCAAACAGG
rnacentral:rRNA from 1 species